rnacentral:rRNA from 1 species
UACGUAGGGUGCAAGCGUUUAAUCGGAAUUACUGGGCGUAAAGCGCACGCAGGCGGUCUGUUAAGUCAGAUGUGAAAUCCCCGGGCUUAACCUGGGAACUGCAUUUGAAACUGGCAGGCUUGAGUCUUGUAGAGGGGGGUAGAAUUCCAGGUGUAGCGGUGAAAUGCGUAGAGAUCUGGAGGAAUACCGGUGGCGAAGGCGGCCCCCUGGACAAAGACUGACGCUCAGGUGCGAAAGCGUGGGGGGCAAACAGG